GAUGAAGAACGUAGCGAAAUGCGAUAAGUAGUGUGAAUUGCAGAAUUCAGUGAAUCAUCGAAUCUUUGAACGCACAUUGCGCCCCUUUGGUAUUCCUUAGGGCAUGCCUGUUCGAGCGUCAUUUAAACCUUCAAGCUAAGCUUGGUGUUGGGUGACUGUCCGCUUCACGGCGGACUCGCCUCAAAAUUAUUGGCGGCGGUACAUUGGCUUCGAGCGCAGCAGAAACGCGAACUCGGGCCCGUCGUAUUGGCUCCCAGAAGCUAUCUUCACAAUUUUGACCUCGGAUCAGGUAGGGAUACCCGCUGAACUUAAGCAUAUCAAUAAGCGGAGGA
rnacentral:misc_RNA from 1 species